GUCAGUAACCCAGCCCUAAAGGGACUGAGCUUGCAAGAGAAAUCAAACAAGCUGUACUGACCAGACCACCCUAAGCAUAGUCUAAGGGUAGCCGUUAUUUGAGUCACGA
rnacentral:ncRNA from 1 species